rnacentral:rRNA from 1 species
AACGCGAAGAACCUUACCUACCCUUGACAUGCUCGGAAUUUGCCAGAGAUGGUGAAGUGCCUUCGGGAACCGAGACACAGGUGCUGCAUGGCUGUCGUCAGCUCGUGUCGUGAGAUGUUGGGUUAAGUCCCGUAACGAGCGCAACCCUUGUCCUUAGUUGCCAACAGGUAAAGCUGGGAACUCUAAGGAGACUGCCGGUGAUAAGCCGGAGGAAGGUGGGGAUGACGUCAAGUCCUCAUGGCCCUUACGGGUAGGGCUACACACGUGUUACAAUGGGCAGUACAAAGGGAAGCGAAGCCGCGAGGUGUAGCAAAUCUUUUUAAAGCUGUUCGUAGUCCGGAUUGGAGUCUGCAACUCGACUCCAUGAAGUUGGAAUCGCUAGUAAUCGUGGAUCAGAACGCCACGGUGAAUACGUUCCCGGGCCUUGUA